AUGGAAUGUCAGACUUUUUCCCAUGUAUUAUUUUUCUGCAGUGUUACUGGUAAUCAUUAUAACCUAGAUGUGACUUACUUUUUCCCCAACAGACCUCUGAGCUCCGCUGUGAUGGCUAUGAUGGUCCUCUACAUCAACUCUUCUGUGCUCCACAUCCAAAUGCUGACCAACACCACCCCAGCUCAACAGACUGUCUUUGAGAGCUGUAAGGAUAUGCCUGCCGGAUUCUUGUUUUACCUCGGUCUGCAGUUCAUCAACCUGCUCCUGGGCAUCCCGGCCAACGUCAUGGUACUCUGGCUCAUCCGCAAGAACAAGGGGGACUCCUCCACGUCGGACAUCUUCAUUAUGCAGUUGGCUAUGCUGGACAUUUUAUUCUGCUUGAUGCCCCCCCUGGAGCUGGUCAACCUCAUGUACCUGGCCACUGGCCACAUCUGGUCCACUCUGAGUUUCAUUUACGGCGUCAAGGACUGCUCUCUGCUCUUCCUCUCCUGCAUCUGCCUGGACCGCUACAUGGCCGUGCGCCACCCCAUCGUCUUUGCGGAGCUGAAGGACCGCUGGCACCGCAAGGCCUGUGCUCUCGUCAUGUGGACUCUCACGUUGGCCUACGCCGUGACCAGGUGCGUGGACACUGUGCCCAACUUUGAAAAGAUCUUCAUCGUCAUGAUCCUGGCCACCUUCGCCUUCAUGGUCUUCUGCAACAUCUCCAUCCUCUGGGCUCUCAGCCAAUCAGGGCCCGGGCGCGACGAGAUGCACCCGGUCAAGAAAAGGGCCUUCAAGAUGGUGCUCAUCAUCCUGGCCAUCAUUGUCUUCAACUACCUGCCACCAGUCGCCCUGUUCCCCUUUAAGCAGUACUUUGUGCCCGACGUGUUCCGCUGCUACAUCCACUACUUUGCGUUCGGCUUCAUGGACAUCAGCAGCAGCAUCCAGCCCAUGCUCUACCUCUCCAAGCUGAAUGCCUCCCUGUGUAAAUGCAAAGGCUCCUGCUGUGGGAGCAAAGCUGCACAGGAGGUGAGCACUUGA
rnacentral:lncRNA from 1 species